rnacentral:rRNA from 1 species
AGAGUUUGAUCCUGGCUCAGGAUGAACGCUAGCUACAGGCUUAACACAUGCAAGUCGAGGGGCAGCAUGGUCUUAGCUUGCUAAGGCCGAUGGCGACCGGCGCACGGGUGAGUAACACGUAUCCAACCUGCCGUCUACUCUUGGACAGCCUUCUGAAAGGAAGAUUAAUACAAGAUGGCAUCAUGAGUCCGCAUGUUCACAUGAUUAAAGGUAUUCCGGUAGACGAUGGGGAUGCGUUCCAUUAGAUAGUAGGCGGGGUAACGGCCCACCUAGUCUUCGAUGGAUAGGGGUUCUGAGAGGAAGGUCCCCCACAUUGGAACUGAGACACGGUCCAAACUCCUACGGGAGGCAGCAGUGAGGAAUAUUGGUCAAUGGGCGAGAGCCUGAACCAGCCAAGUAGCGUGAAGGAUGACUGCCCUAUGGGUUGUAAACUUCUUUUAUAAAGGAAUAAAGUCGGGUAUGGAUACCCGUUUGCAUGUACUUUAUGAAUAAGGAUCGGCUAACUCCGUGCCAGCAGCCGCGGUAAUACGGAGGAUCCGAGCGUUAUCCGGAUUUAUUGGGUUUAAAGGGAGCGUAGAUGGAUGUUUAAGUCAGUUGUGAAAGUUUGCGGCUCAACCGUAAAAUUGCAGUUGAUACUGGAUAUCUUGAGUGCAGUUGAGGCAGGCGGAAUUCGUGGUGUAGCGGUGAAAUGCUUAGAUAUCACGAAGAACUCCAAUUGCGAAGGCAGCCCGCUAAGCUGCAACUGACAUUGAGGCUCGAAAGUGUGGGUAUCAAACAGGAUUAGAUACCCUGGUAGUCCACACGGUAAACGAUGAAUACUCGCUGUUUGCGAUAUACUGCAAGCGGCCAAGCGAAAGCGUUAAGUAUUCCACCUGGGGAGUACGCCGGCAACGGUGAAACUCAAAGGAAUUGACGGGGGCCCGCACAAGCGGAGGAACAUGUGGUUUAAUUCGAUGAUACGCGAGGAACCUUACCCGGGCUUAAAUUGCAGAUGAAUUACGGUGAAAGCCGUAAGCCGCAAGGCAUCUGUGAAGGUGCUGCAUGGUUGUCGUCAGCUCGUGCCGUGAGGUGUCGGCUUAAGUGCCAUAACGAGCGCAACCCUUGUUGUCAGUUACUAACAGGUUCUGCUGAGGACUCUGACAAGACUGCCAUCGUAAGAUGUGAGGAAGGUGGGGAUGACGUCAAAUCAGCACGGCCCUUACGUCCGGGGCUACACACGUGUUACAAUGGGGGGUACAGAGGGCCGCUACCACGCGAGUGGAUGCCAAUCCCAAAAACCUCUCUCAGUUCGGACUGGAGUCUGCAACCCGACUCCACGAAGCUGGAUUCGCUAGUAAUCGCGCAUCAGCCACGGCGCGGUGAAUACGUUCCCGGGCCUUGUACACACCGCCCGUCAAGCCAUGGGAGCCGGGGGUACCUGAAGUGCGUAACCGCGAGGAGCGCCCUAGGGUAAAACUGGUGACUGGGGCUAAGUCGUAACAAGGUAGCCG